rnacentral:rRNA from 1 species
AUGAACGCUAGCUACAGGCUUAACACAUGCAAGUCGAGGGGCAGCAUGGUCUUAGCUUGCUAAGACUGAUGGCGACCGGCGCACGGGUGAGUAACACGUAUCCAACCUGCCGUCUACUCUUGGACAGCCUUCUGAAAGGAAGAUUAAUACAAGAUGGCAUCAUGAGUCCGCAUGUUCACAUGAUUAAAGGUAUUCCGGUAGACGAUGGGGAUGCGUUCCAUUAGAUAGUAGGCGGGGUAACGGCCCACCUAGUCUUCGAUGGAUAGGGGUUCUGAGAGGAAGGUCCCCCACAUUGGAACUGAGACACGGUCCAAACUCCUACGGGAGGCAGCAGUGAGGAAUAUUGGUCAAUGGGCGAGAGCCUGAACCAGCCAAGUAGCGUGAAGGAUGACUGCCCUAUGGGUUGUAAACUUCUUUUAUAAAGGAAUAAAGUCGGGUAUGCAUACCCGUUUGCAUGUACUUUAUGAAUAAGGAUCGGCUAACUCCGUGCCAGCAGCCGCGGUAAUACGGAGGAUCCGAGCGUUAUCCGGAUUUAUUGGGUUUAAAGGGAGCGUAGAUGGAUGUUUAAGUCAGUUGUGAAAGUUUGCGGCUCAACCGUAAAAUUGCAGUUGAUACUGGAUAUCUUGAGUGCAGUUGAGGCAGGCGGAAUUCGUGGUGUAGCGGUGAAAUGCUUAGAUAUCACGAAGAACUCCGAUUGCGAAGGCAGCCUGCUAAGCUGCAACUGACAUUGAGGCUCGAAAGUGUGGGUAUCAAACAGGAUUAGAUACCCUGGUAGUCCACACGGUAAACGAUGAAUACUCGCUGUUUGCGAUAUACUGCAAGCGGCCAAGCGAAAGCGUUAAGUAUUCCACCUGGGGAGUACGCCGGCAACGGUGAAACUCAAAGGAAUUGACUGGGGCCCGCACAAGCGGAGGAACAUGUGGUUUAAUUCGAUGAUACGCGAGGAACCUUACCCGGGCUUAAAUUGCAGAUGAAUUACGGUGAAAGCCGUAAGCCGCAAGGCAUCUGUGAAGGUGCUGCAUGGUUGUCGUCAGCUCGUGCCGUGAGGUGUCGGCUUAAGUGCCAUAACGAGCGCAACCCUUGUUGUCAGUUACUAACAGGUUCCGCUGAGGACUCUGACAAGACUGCCAUCGUAAGAUGUGAGGAAGGUGGGGAUGACGUCAAAUCAGCACGGCCCUUACGUCCGGGGCUACACACGUGUUACAAUGGGGGGUACAGAGGGCCGCUACCACGCGAGUGGAUGCCAAUCCCCAAAACCUCUCUCAGUUCGGACUGGAGUCUGCAACCCGACUCCACGAAGCUGGAUUCGCUAGUAAUCGCGCAUCAGCCACGGCGCGGUGAAUACGUUCCCGGGCCUUGUACACACCGCCCGUCAAGCCAUGGGAGCCGGGGGUACCUGAAGUGCGUAACCGCGAGGAGCGCCCUAGGGUAAAACUGGUGACUGGGGCU